rnacentral:piRNA from 1 species
UGAUUGGUCUGUCCGGAAGUA